AAAAUAAAGACAAGUGAAUGAAAACGGAAGGAAACUUAUGAGACUGCACACAAUUGGACAAAAGCGAGACUAAAUACACCCAAACUACCAGCGACGUGACCGUAGGCGCUGUCGACCUUACGUUGCCCGGGAAAGAGCGGUUUUACUCUCCGGUAGGACAAAAGAAGCACUUUCACACAAUGAGCUAGCCACACUGAGAGUUGGCCUGUUGAGUGGUGUUUGAUGUUUAUACUGGUAUGAAAACUGCACAAGCUUGUUUAAAGAUGCGCUGUAAUCACUUGUCUGGCAUGUUAUAUCUCAGUCUGAUGGAAAUUUAAGAUAAGUACUGUCAUACUUUUACUGUAGUGGCUCAUAAAGUAAUGUACCAUGCAUUGUAGGAUUUUAAUUUUAAAAUAUUUCAGAAUCAGUAUUGAGUUUUUGUUGCCCUGCAUGUAUUGACAUAUACUGAGGGGGAACAGCAUGGGGGACAAAAAGGUAGAGGAUCACAAAAGGUUUGUCACAGGAUGAGCUGCAUUCCAUUUCCUGUUCCUUCUUUCAUGCUGACCUCUUAAAUAGAGUUCUAUAAAUAGAGGUGCUGGUGUCGGGCCUACCGGAGCAGGCUAAUUUCUGGGAUCAUCCAUUAAAGUAACAGGGUAAGCUAUAGAAGAGUUGAUGUUUUACUACUGUGUUUUUCAAUGCACCAUUUAUCCCACAUCAGUGGCAAGUAGCAUUACAAACUUUAUGAAGUUAUUUCACUUAGUUGAAGUAAAUUCAGGACAUCAGUACAGCUUUGAUCUUUGUUAAAGGACCUUUGCUGAUGAUUUGAUCAACUGUAUUGAAAUAAUCUGGAAGAUGUAGAAAUUAAAACUCAUUAAAACUA